GGCGAACGCUGGCGGCGUGCUUAACACAUGCAAGUCGAACGGAAAGGCCCUGCUUGCAGGGUGCUCGAGUGGCGAACGGGUGAGUAACACGUGGGUGAUCUGCCCCUUACUUUGGGAUAAGCCUGGGAAACUGGGUCUAAUACUGGCUAGGACCAUGCUGUAGGUGGUGUGGUGGAAAGAUUAGUUUCGGUAAGGGAUGAGCUCGCGGCCUAUCAGCUUGUUGGUGGGGUAAUGGCCUACCAAGGCGUUGGCGGGUAGCCGGCCUGAGAGGGUGGACGGCCAGAUUGGGACUGAGAUACGGCCCAGACGACUGCGGGAGGCAGCAGUGGUGAAUAUUGCACAAUGGGCGCAAGCCUGAUGCAGCGACGCCGCGUGGAGGGUGACGGCCUUCGGGUUGUAAACUCCUUUCAGCCAUGACGAAGCCCUUGUGGUGACGGUAGUGGUAGAAGAAGCACCGGCUAACUACGUG
rnacentral:rRNA from 1 species